GUAUCUUGGAAGACAUCCAAUAAAAUAGGAAUGAUACAAAGAAGAUUAGCAUGGCCACUACACAAGGAUGACAUGCAUAAAUCGAGAAAUGGUUCAAAAAAAA